rnacentral:rRNA from 1 species
GAUGAACGCUGGCUACAGGCUUAACACAUGCAAGUCGUGGGGAAACGGCAUUAUGUGCUUGCACAUUCUGGACGUCGACCGGCGCACGGGUGAGUAUCGCGUAUCCAACCUGCCCCUUACUUGGGGAUACCCCGUUGAAAGACGGCCUAAUACCCGAUGUGUUUCAUUGACGGCAUCCGAUAUGAAACAAAGGUUUUCCGGUAAGGGAUGGGGAUGCGUCUGAUUAGCUUGUUGGCGGGGCAACGGCCCACCAAGGCGACGAUCAGUAGGGGUUCUGAGAGGAAGGUCCCCCACAUUGGAACUGAGACACGGUCCAAACUCCUACGGGAGGCAGCAGUGAGGAAUAUUGGUCAAUGGACGCAAGUCUGAACCAGCCAAUUAUCGUGCAGGAUGACGGCCCUAUGGGUUGGAAACUGCUUUUAUGGGGGAAUAAAGUGGCGCAGGUGUUGGUCCAAUGCAUGUACCUCAUGAUUAAGGACCGGUUAAUUCCGUGCCACCAGCCGCGUUGUUAGUGAUGGUUCCUGGCUUUAUUGUGAUUUUUUUGGGUUUUUGAGGAGUGUGGGGGUUUUGUUAUGCGUUGUUGUGUAAUUGU